CCCGAACUUGAGUGCAAUUAAGAUAGGAGGAUGGUAUAGUCAUGUUCGACUUGUGUGGAGUAGUCCUUAAUAAGUUGGCUUGAGAUCCAUCUGCUCAGUGGAGACUCUUUUGGAUUUGGAAAUGUCACGCAAGUAUUUGUGGUUAUGCAUUACUAUCUCUAAUUUGGGUCCGAGAAGCUGAGGACCGUAGAACAUUUACCCCCUCUUGGCCUAUUUAGGACGUAGUGCGGAGACUGUUCAGGUGUAGACUUUAUAACAGUU
rnacentral:lncRNA from 1 species